rnacentral:rRNA from 1 species
CCUACGGGAGGCAGCAGUGGGGAAUAUUGGACAAUGGGCGCAAGCCUGAUCCAGCCAUGCCGCGUGUGUGAUGAAGGCCUUAGGGUUGUAAAGCACUUUCGCCGGUGAAGAUAAUGACGGUAACCGGAGAAGAAGCCCCGGCUAACUUCGUGCCAGCAGCCGCGGUAAUACGAAGGGGGCAAGCGUUGCUCGGAAUCACUGGGCGUAAAGCGUACGUAGGCGGGUCGUUAAGUCAGGGGUGAAAUCCUGGAGCUCAACUCCAGAACGGCCCUUGAUACUGGCGAUCUUGAGUUCGAGAGAGGUUGGUGGAACUGCGAGUGUAGAGGUGAAAUUCGUAGAUAUUCGCAAGAACACCAGUGGCGAAGGCGGCCAACUGGCUCGAUACUGACGCUGAGGUACGAAAGCGUGGGGAGCAAACAGGAUUAGAUACCCUGGUAGUCCACGCCGUAAACGAUGGAUGCUAGCCGUUAGGCAGCUUGCUGCUUAGUGGCGCAGCUAACGCAUUAAGCAUCCCGCCUGGGGAGUACGGUCGCAAGAUUAAAACUCAAAGGAAUUGACGG